ACGGCGAUGGCUCAGUUGGGAGAGCGUCAGACUGAAGAUCUGAAGGUCGCGUGUUCUAGCCACGCUUACUCUA
rnacentral:tRNA from 1 species